UGGGGGAUAUUGCACAAUGGGCGAAAGCCUGAUGCAGCGACGCCGCGUGGGGGAUGAAGGCUUUCGGGUUGUAAACCUCUUUCGCUAUCGAACAAGGCCCGCUUAGGGUGGGUUGAGGGUAGGUGGAGAAGAAGCGCCGGCUAACUACGUGCCAGCAGCCGCGGUAAUACGUAGGGCGCGAGCGUUGUCCGGAAUUAUUGGGCGUAAAGGGCUUGUAGGCGGCUUGUUGCGCCUGCUGUGAAAACGCGGGGCUUAACUUCGCGCGUGCAGUGGGUACGGGCGGGCUUGAGUGUGGUAGGGGUGACUGGAAUUCCAGGUGUAGCGGUGGAAUGCGCAGAUAUCUGGAGGAACACCGAUGGCGAAGGCAGGUCACUGGGCCAUUACUGACGCUGAGGAGCGAAAGCAUGGGUAGCGAACAGG
rnacentral:rRNA from 1 species